CGCGUAGCUUAAUGGCACCCCAAGCUCAUAACUUGGUCAUUGCGAGUUCAAGUCUCGCCACUGCGACCA
rnacentral:tRNA from 1 species